AAGUCGUAACAAGGUUUCCGUAGGUGAACCUGCGGAAGGAUCAUUAACAAAUCCUUUUUUGUGAUGUAUUUGUUGUUUUCAAUCUUUCAUGGCAUGUACUUUAUAUUUCUCUUUUGUUGAAUAAACAAGAUGAUUGAUAAUGAAUUACAUUGUUUUGAAAUACAAAAACAAUAAUACAAAACAUACGUUCCAUGUACAAUGAGAUUCAUUUCUUUGAUGAUAUUGUUGUACAUGAUAACAUAUUUCUACGAAUCAUCUGAUUGUAUAAAUAAUAAUUAAGCAUAAAUAAUGACUUUUAACAAUGGAUCUCUAGACUCUU
rnacentral:misc_RNA from 1 species